UAGACAUCUGAAGUGUUGAGUAUUCAAGAAUGAACACAUGCAGGUAAUCCAUAUACGAAUAUUCUCCACUUAACAUUGGAAGAUAAUGAGGUGAAGUGAGGUUGAAGAGGAAGAACAAGAUGAAGGUGAUGGGUGAAGUGAGAAGAUGAAGAGGAUGGGGAGAGGGUGUAUUUUUGGGUUUUACAAAGUAGGGGUGGAGGUUUCAAUAUCAACUCCUUAUUUUUCUUAACAUUUGGAUCAGGCUCAUACCACUAGGGUGGACAAGUUACAAACUGGUCCACCCAUAUCCACCGGCCAGAUAUAAUAUUUUAAUUAUGUGGUCAGGAUUUGCAACCUUUCACCUGUGGUUGUGGUUAGUGACAUUAUUUUGAAAAAUUGCAAAGAAAUCCAUCUGAGUUAAACCCUCUUUCUCUCUGAUAUGACAUGAUGUCCACCAAUCCUUUGAAACCCAGUAAUACAUCUCCAUGGCCGCCGUUCAUAUCAUCUUCAUUUCACAAUUUCUCUGCACCACAUCAUCUCCAUCUCUCUUCUCGAAGGCUACGAAAGAGUGGGUUCCACUAAAUUUGUCAAUAAAAUGAAUUUUCCAACAGCGGAGCUGUGCAUAGAGCAUGAAAAAAAGGUGUAUGAGUACUCACUGUUGUCGUUGAAAAUGAUGGCAAUGGCAUUGACUCUUGGAAGCGAAGGAUGACAAGGAUGCCAAACAUCCCAAGCAUUGGUAGAACAACAAACCUCGAAUAGUUGUAGUUUGUGAUAAAAAGUGGACAAAUUCUGGUUUUGUAAGUUGGGGAUAGAUGCAUGUGAGAUGUUCGACGAAAUGCUCCAUUUGAAAUUGAGGGUACUUUUGGCGUAAUGGCAGUUCUGCUCAAAUGGAGCUCAAGAAAUGUGGUUUGUAAA